AGCGAACGCUGGCGGCAGGCUUAACACAUGCAAGUCGAGCGGGCCUUUCGGGGUCAGCGGCGGACGGGUGAGUAACGCGUGGGAACGUGCCCUCUGGUUCGGAAUAACUCAGGGAAACUUGAGCUAAUACCGGAUACGCCCUUUUGGGGAAAGGCUUGCUGCCGGAGGAUCGGCCCGCGUCUGAUUAGCUAGUUGGUGAGGUAACGGCUCACCAAGGCGACGAUCAGUAGCUGGUCUGAGAGGAUGAUCAGCCACACUGGGACUGAGACACGGCCCAGACUCCUACGGGGGGGAGCAGUGGGGAAAAUUGGACAAUGGGAGCAAGCCUGAUCCAGCCAUGCCGCGUGAGUGAUGAAGGCCUUGGGGUUGUAAAGCUCUUUUAUCCGGGACGAUAAUGGCGGUACCGGAGGAAUAAGCCCCGGCUAACUUC
rnacentral:rRNA from 1 species